UCCCUGGCAGUCCAGUGGUUAGGACUCAGUGCUUUCACUGCUGUGGGCUGGGGUUCAAUUCCUGGCUGGGGAA
rnacentral:tRNA from 1 species